rnacentral:rRNA from 1 species
AACGUAGGACACAAGCGUUAUCCGGAGUUACUGGGCGUAAAGGGCGCGUAGGCGGAUGUUUAAGUCAGCGGUGAAAGCCCAGGGCUCAACCUUGGAACUGCCAUUGAUACUGGACAUCUUGAGUACGGGAGAGGUGAGUGGAACUCCGAGUGUAGAGGUGAAAUUCGUAGAUAUUCGGAAGAACACCAGUGGCGAAGGCGACUCACUGGCCCGUUACUGACGCUGAGGCGCGAAAGCGUGGGGAGCAAACAGG